GAUGAAGAACGUAGCGAAAUGCGAUACGUAAUGUGAAUUGCAAAUUCAGUGAAUCAUCGAGUCUUUGAACGCACAUUGCGCCCCCUGGUAUUCCGGGGGGCAUGCCUGUCCGAGCGUCAUUGCUGCCCUCAAGCACGGCUUGUGUGUUGGGCCCCGUCCUCCGAUCCCGGGGGACGGGCCCGAAAGGCAGCGGCGGCACCGCGUCCGGUCCUCGAGCGUAUGGGGCUUUGUCACCCGCUCUGUAGGCCCGGCCGGCGAUUGCCGAUCAACCCAAAUUUUUUAUCCAGGUUGACCUCGGAUCAGGUAGGGAUACCCGCUGAACUUAAGCAUAUCAAUAAGCGGAGGA
rnacentral:misc_RNA from 1 species